UUCUUUGUGAAAGUGAAAGACCCCCGGAGCGGGGAGACCCUCACUCAAGUCUCGGGAUGAUGCGACCCCCCAAGAACUCACGUGAGACC
rnacentral:pre_miRNA from 14 species